rfam:Phytophthora parasitica INRA-310 unplaced genomic scaffold supercont2.15, whole genome shotgun sequence.
CAGUACACAACUGCGGACAGAUGAAGUGCACGUGAGCGUCAAAGCCACCAGCAGUUAGAAUCAAACCUUCUCCAGCGAUCACUUCCGUGUUCACGCCGAUAAUCAGGUCGGGCAUGACACCUUCCAUCACAUCCGGGUUGCCACCUUUGCCGAUUCCGGCAAUCAGACCGUCCUUGAUCCCCACAUCGGCCUUAUAGAUGCCCGUGUAGUCCACAAUCAACGCAUUAGUGAUGAUUGUAUCCACAACAUGAGCGGAACUCUUGCCAGACGCUUGUCCCAUGCCUUCUCGCAG